GACGAACGCUGGCGGCGUGCUUAACACAUGCAAGUCGAACGGAAAGGCCCUGCUUGCAGGGUACUCGAGUGGCGAACGGGUGAGUAACACGUGGGUGAUCUGCCCUGCACUUCGGGAUAAGCCUGGGAAACUGGGUCUAAUACCGGAUAGGAGCCAUUUUUAGCGUGAUGGUUGGAAAGUUUUUUCGGUGUAGGAUGAGCUCGCGGCCUAUCAGCUUGUUGGUGGGGUAAUGGCCUACCAAGGCGGCGGCGGGUAGCCGGCCUGAGAGGGUGGACGGCCACAUUGGGACUGAGAUACGGCCCAGACUCCUACGGGAGGCAGCAGUGGGGAAUAUUGCACAAUGGGCGCAAGCCUGAUGCAGCGACGCCGCGUGGGGGAUGACGGCCUUCGGGUUGUAAACUCCUUUCGCUAGGGACGAAGCUUUUUGUGACGGUACCUAGAUAAGAAGCACCGGCUAACUACGUG
rnacentral:rRNA from 1 species